rnacentral:rRNA from 1 species
AGUGAACGCUGGCGGCGUGCUUAACACAUGCAAGUCGAACGAGAGCGGAAUAUAGCUUGCUAUAUUUGUCAGCUAAGUGGCGCACGGGUGAGUAAUAUAUAGAUAGCCUGCCCUUAAGAAAGGAAUAACAGUUGGAAACGACUGCUAAUGCCCUAUAUGCCUUUAAUACAUAAGUAUGCAAGGGAAACGCUUUAGUGCUUAAGGAUGGGUCUGUAUGGUAUCAGCUUGUUGGUGAGGUAAUGGCUCACCAAGGCUAUGACGCCUAACUGGUUUGAGAGGAUGAUCAGUCACACUGGAACUGAGACACGGUCCAGACUCCUACGGGAGGCAGCAGUGGGGAAUAUUGCACAAUGGACGAAAGUCUGAUGCAGCAACGCCGCGUGGAGGAUGACACAUUUCGGUGCGUAAACUCCUUUUAUAUAGGAAGAUAAUGACGGUACUAUAUGAAUAAGCACCGGCUAACUCCGUGCCAGCCGCCGCAGUAAUAC